AUGUUCAAUGUUGCAAAUCGGGUGGUGUUGGGGAAGGGUACAGUUGCAAAAUUCUGGACUGAUAAUUGGGCCGCAGGAGGCAAGAGCAUCUCAGCCUUGGCCCCGGCCCUAUUCUCCUUCGUUAAAGACUCCAAACUCUCAGUUAAAGAAGUGUUGCACAAUCACAGGUGGAUUAGGGACAUCAGGGGUGGUCUGUCUACGCGGGCACUAGCGCAAUACUUAGCGGUGUGGGAUAUCGCCCAGGCCACCACUCUUUCAGAUGAAACGGAGGAUCACCUCGUGUGGAGGCUGACGGAGCACCACCAGUUCAUAGUGAGCAGCGCGUAUAGGAUGUUCUUCAUGGCCAGAAUUCCUUUUGCCUGCAAUAAGCUUAUCUGGAAGUCCAAAGCUCCCCAUCGUUGCAAAUUCUUCAUGUGGUUGGUUAUUCAAAGGAAGUGCCUGAUGGCAGAUAAUCUUCAGCGACGAGGGUGUCCAUACAAUGCAGUCUGCCCGCUCUGCUUGAUACAUCCCGAGGACUGCACGCAUCUAUUUCUCUCCUACAGCUUCAUGCAGCAACUCUGGAUGGCAUUCCAGGGGUGGACGGGUGUCCCCUUCCCUACGCCGACGAGCAGCUUUGAGUGCUCCGAGGCAUGGUGGCUAGAGGCGAGAAAAGCAAUCCCGAAGCAGGUGCGCCGAGACUUUGACACCAUUGUCAUUCUCAUACACUGGAGGAUCUGGAAGGAGCGGAACGCUCGAAUCUUCUAG
rnacentral:rRNA from 1 species